rnacentral:rRNA from 1 species
AUUGAACGCUGGCGGCAGGCCUAACACAUGCAAGUCGAGCGGUAACACAGGGAGCUUGCUCCUGGGUGACGAGCGGCGGACGGGUGAGUAAUGUCUGGAAACUGCCUGAUGGAGGGGGAUAACUACUGGAAACGGUAGCUAAUACCGCAUAACGUCGCAAGACCAAAGAGGGGGACCUUCGGGUCUCUUGCCAUCAGAUGUGCCCAGAUGGGAUUAGCUAGUAGGUGGGGUAACGGCUCACCUAGGCGACGAUCCCUAGCUGGUCUGAGAGGAUGACCAGCCACACUGGAACUGAGACACGGUCCAGACUCCUACGGGAGGCAGCAGUGGGGAAUAUUGCACAAUGGGCGCAAGCCUGAUGCAGCCAUGCCGCGUGUAUGAAGAAGGCCUUCGGGUUGUAAAGUACUUUCAGCGGGGAGGAAGGCGAUAAGGUUAAUAACCUUGUCGAUUGACGUUACCCGCAGAAGAAGCACCGGCUAACUCCGUGCCAGCCGCCGCAGUAACAC